rnacentral:rRNA from 1 species
GCCAGACUCCUACGGGAGGCAGCAGUGAGGAAUAUUGGUCAAUGGGCGGAAGCCUGAACCAGCCAAGUCGCGUGAGGGAAUAAGGCCCUACGGGUCGUAAACCUCUUUUGCCGGGGAGCAAGGGCCGGGACGCGUCCCGGCCCGGAGAGUACCCGGAGAAAAAGCAUCGGCUAACUACGUGCCAGCAGCCGCGGUAAUACGUAGGGGGCAAGCGUUAUCCGGAUUCACUGGGUGUAAAGGGAGCGUAGACGGCGACGCAAGUCUGGAGUGAAAGCCCGGGGCCCAACCCCGGGACUGCUCUGGAAACUGCGUCGCUGGAGUACGGGAGGGGCAGGCGGAAUUCCUGGUGUAGCGGUGAAAUGCGUAGAUAUUAGGAGGAACACCAGUGGCGAAGGCGGCCUGCUGGGCUUUUACUGACGCUGAGGCUCGAAAGUGUGGGGAGCAAACAGGAUUAGAUACCCUUGUA